UCUAGAAAUUAGCCUGAGCUGUUUGCUUACAUCUGUAUGUCACUGACCUUCCCGGGCCCCAACACUUAGAGCGUUGUUCUCUAAGUGUGCGUCUGAGGAGUGCUACUUCUCACGUGGCAGAGAGAAACCAACAGGACUUUGGUGGUGAAAGUAAAAGGGAGCGGUGAAGGUAGAGCUUCAAGAAGAUGUGCAGGUGGGAAAUUUGUGUGAGGCUAGGGAAGCGUGGAGGUCGAGGAGGCGGCAAUGGCAACACUGAGGAUGAGACACGAUCAGCAAUAGUUUGCAGGUGAACGGAUGCUUUUGUAAGAGAAGAAAAUAGUAACUGUGUAACUAAGAGUGUGACAAAUGUGUUUUAUAGGCCAGGUUUCAUGGGAUAGAUCACAUUUCAUUUCCUAUUGCCGUGGAAGAAUACUUGAGAAUGGAUAAUUUACAAAGAGUGAGCAUCAUCUGUGCUGGGUAGGCAUGGUAGCCACCUGUAAUUCCAGUCUCAGAAGGUGGAGACAAGGUAUACCCAGAGCAUGCUAGCACGAAAAACACAUGUAUGCACAUACUCACUACAUGUGCAACUGCACACAGGAAAAGCAUGCAUACACACACACACACACACACACACUUGAAAAUGGAACAAAAAAGUAGUGAGGUUUAUUUUGGUUCAUGGUUCUUGGAUCAUGGUGCCGACAUCUUGGCUCCCAAUGAGAAUCUUAUGUUGCUUCAACUCAUGGCAGGAAGUUCAAAGGGAGCAGGCAUGUAAAAUCACACAACCCAAGAUGGAAAUGAAGAAAAAUUCAUUCUCAAGAGAAGGACAUUAAUCCUUUUAACCACCCAAUCACUUCUUAAAGUGCCAUUUCCCAAUACCAUUACAAAAGCAGUCACAUUUCCACAUAAGUUUUAAAACAGAUGAUCCCUAUUCAAAUCCUGGCAAUCUCAGGUUGGAGGUUUUGCAUUUGAAAAUGAAUAAUACACAACAGGUAGGUAUACUGCAUUCAAGCCAGGUAGGUGAAAUAAUAUAUUUUCCUAUUGGUAAAAAUCUUACCAAUUUCUAUAUCUACAUGUUCAUACCUUGGUAGCAAUUAAGCAUUUUCUCACACUCGGAUUUUAUGCUUUGCCCUCCUGAAGGAUUUUCUCUUUUCUUGUUUGCUGAAGGUAGAACCUCAGGGAUACAGGCUGAACUCUAUCACUGAGCAAAUCUCUAGCCCUCAUCUAGGUCCUUUCUAUAGCCUGUCCCCUUGGAUGAGUAAAUUGAGGUGCAAUUUUAUGGUAGAGAGACAUAUGUUUUUAGAAAAUGCUUCUGUAGAACAGGUGCAAUGAUUCACAGUCAGACAUCGCACAGAAAGGGAGAGACCUUGGAGCACACAGCUCUAAAUGGGAUGUCUUUAUCAAAUCUCUCCCCUCAGAGUUCAUGGAAGCCACUGAAGGAAGCGAAAGAGUAUAAGAGCUAGAGGGGAUGGAGGACACCAAGAAAAUAAGGCGCUCUGAAUCAACAGAGUAAAGGUCAUGUGAACUCAACCGAGACGGAAGCAGCAUGCACAGGGCUGACAUGGAUCGGCUCCAGCCUAGAACACUGACGGUCUCCUCUUGACUGCUGAAGAAGUUCCAGCCCAGCGCUGCACCCACGGACCUAAAUCCACUUGGCAGCCCCCGUCUGGCACCUGCUGCUGCUGAUCACCUGCUGAUUUCGCCGGAGGAUCCCAUCCACCUACCAGGAUCCGGCCUCUAGUGGGAAGAGAUGUCUGUUAUUGGACUGGUCACAGCAGGGACUUUAGUCAGCUGCCUGUUCCAGCUCCUGAAAGCUGUCUUGACAGAGGCAGGCACCCGCAGUUUUCCUGACAGAUAGCUCUGACUGACCAUUGAAGGAGCAGCUAAGCAGGUCUGGAGCAGCCAGGCCAGGAAGAAGGGUCGUGGAAGUAGAUAGAUGAUGAGAUAAAGUGGAGAACAGAUAAAAUGCUACAGGAGCCAAAGGAAAGAACCUGUAGACCCCUCUAGAGAGUGGUUACAGCUCUCAGCCUGGUCUCUGAGACCCUUAGCCCCGAAAGCUGUAGUAUUGGGCACUGAGAAGGGCCCGGGUCCUGAUACCAGAGGCCACAUGAAGACUAUAACUCUCCUGGAUGCCAAGGCCCUUUGCUUUUAACUAACUAUUCCUGCCACUCACACUACCAAACACUGAGGAGGGACAGAAGCUGCCAGAGAUAAGCAAUUGAGGGGUUCCUUGUCUAUCUGUGAUUUUUGCUCAGGCAGAACCGGCAGUCAGCUCAUUAGUGAUGCUUGUGUUACCGUUUCCAAUCAGUUUCUACUAACCCAAUGGCCAACAGUCAACUCACCAAACCCAGUCUUGGGGCGGCAGAAGCUGAAAGGCUGUGGAUAUCAGGAGGCAUCAGCAAAGCCCACUGCCAACCACAGUGUUUGAGGGAUAGCUGAAGCCCCAGUUCCUUCAGGGGCAGAGAUGAAUUAUAACCAGUGAUAAGAUAAGCUAACCACACUCAGAAAAAUCACCCACACAAUUACUGUGGCACUAAAGAACAGAUUUGGGUGUAGCUGAAAGAAGAUACUCCACAUCCCAAUAAAAAAUGAAUUUAAUUCAGUGUAUGUGGUAAGAGAUGAAAAUUUAUGCAAAUUUUCCAAGACUUAAUUUUAAUAAAAGGAGAUAGUUUGUUUAGGUCUUUUGGGGUGUUAGAAAGAAAGAGGAAGAUAAGUAUAUUAGCAAGGAGCAUGUACUCAGUAUGUACUCAGAGGAAAGCAGGACAGGCCACAGAGGGGGGCAGGGAGGGCCUCAGGACAGAAAAGGGAACAGAAGCCACAUACACACACGCAUGCACACACAUAUGCACAACACACAUAUACAUACGCUCGAAUACACUCUCGCACACAGUGUAGAUGUUUAAAUGCUGCACAGUUCCCUUUUUAGAAGGCAUAUGAUUUGCAGGCUUUGUUUUUGUUUGUUUUUUAAAAUGAGUUUGUAUCUUCUAAACUGAUAAAGAAAAAGGAAAAAAGUAUUAAAAGGAUUUUGGAAAAAUGAAGAGAAGAGAAUCUGUUAAAGAAAAAGGAAAGAAAAAGUAUUAAAAAGAUUUUGGAAAAAUUAAGAGAAUCUUUUUUCCCCCAGAGAAGAGUGGUGUUAGAUUUCAUUUCUCCUCACAAUAUGUUGUUUCAAAUAUACACGUACAUACAGCAUAUAUGCCCCAUUGUGGGGGGCGGGGGCGGGUCGCGGAGCUGUGCCUCGAGGCAGAGGUAGUGGUCUCUUGAGGAGAAAGGGAGAAGCCUCCAGAAGGUCAGGUGAUCUGUAUUGCUACUUGAGUAGCUGUGGGCCUGUGGCAGCAUCACUGGGACCUCAGACCUAAUGAAUCCAGCUCUGGAGUUGGCUCCUGGAGAUCCUGUUUUUGAAACCUUCUAGCUGACUCUGUUGCUUUUGAAGUCCCAGGACACAGAGUUAGGGAAUGCAUGGACAAUACAGGAAAAAUGGGGUCAGGUCAAAGGGGAAGAAGAGAUUUUUUUUUUUCUACACCAGGGGCUCAUGUAUCCACCAGUUAUUAACCAUUUUCUAUCUCAUGAUUAUGCGGGACCAGUGGGCCUCAGUAUUUUCAUCACAAAGCUGUUUGGCUCUUCCCACUCUCCUGUCUAGAGCAGGAUGUCUCAGCAUGGCACCGCAGGCAGCAUGUGCUGGAUAAUUUGUCAUGGGAGGUGAUCCUGUUGGCAGUAGAGCUUUAGCGGCCUCACAGGCCUCUACCCACUCAAUGCUGUUAGCAUUCUCUCAUUAGCAACAACCAAAUAUUAUGUAGGCACAGUCAAAUGUCCCCUAGGAGGCAAAAAUCAUCCCAGUUGAAAACCACCAGUUGAAAAACAGAUCAAAACCCAAGCAAGGCAUACUUAUUAAGUAAUAGUAUAUUUCCCUGUUUUAUUAAUGCAAACACAUGUAACUGUCAAUCAGAACACGGGAAGGUAGGGUUUCGAGGCUCCACAGUCCAUCACACAUGCCUGGUCUCUAAUAUGUUGACCAUGAGUGGUGUUAGGCGUUCUUUAAAUUUUUUUUUCUGGUUUUGUCAUAAGGAAACAUGGACAAACUAUUUGUUAUUCAAGUAUUAAAUAUAAUGUUGUAUAGAAAGUACUCAGCAAUUUGGUGAAGAGUGUUCAAUAAAAUAUACUCCUGCAAUCAA